GACGAACGCUGGCGGCGUGCUUAACACAUGCAAGUCGAACGGACCUUUUUUGGAAGAAGCCUUCGGGUGGAAAUUAGGAAAGGUUAGUGGCGGACGGGUGAGUAACGCGUAGAUAAUCUACCUUAAAGACUGGGACAACAGUUGGAAACGACUGCUAAUACCGGAUACGCUGCACAUAGGGCAUCCUAGGUGCAGGAAAAGAGGCCUCUUAACAAUGCUCCUGCUUUUAGAUGAGUCUGCGUCUGAUUAGCUAGAUGGUGGGGUAACGGCUUACCAUGGCGACGAUCAGUAGUCGGCCUGAGAGGGUGACCGGCCACAUUGGGACUGAGACACGGCCCAAACUCCUACGGGAGGCAGCAGUGGGGAAUCUUCCGCAAUGGGCGAAAGCCUGACGGAGCAACGCCGCGUGAUCGAAUGAAGGCCUUCGGGUUGUAAAGAUCUGUUGACAGGGACGAAUAAGCAAUGCGAAUAGUUUUGUGUAUGACGGUACCUGUUUAGAAAGCUCCGGCUAACUACGUGCCAGCAGCCGCGGUAAUACGUAGGGAGCAAGCGUUGUCCGGAAUUACUGGGCGUAAAGGGCGCGUAGGUGGGCGCUUAAGUCAGGUGUGAAAACUCCGGGCUCAACCUGGAGACUGCACUUGAAACUGGGUGUCUUGAGGGCAGGAGAGGAAAGUGGAAUUCCUAGUGUAGCGGUGAAAUGCGUAGAUAUUAGGAGGAACACCAGUGGCGAAGGCGACUUUCUGGACUGUACCUGACGCUGAGGCGCGAAAGCGUGGGUAGCGAACGGGAUUAGAUACCCCGGUAGUCCACGCCGUAAACGAUGAAUACUAGGUGUAGGAGGUAUCGACUCCUUCUGUGCCGCAGCAAACGCAAUAAGUAUUCCGCCUGGGGACUACGGUCGCAAGACUAAAACUCAAAGGAAUUGACGGGGACCCGCACAAGCGGUGGAGCAUGUGGUUUAAUUCGAUGAUACGCGAGGAACCUUACCCGGGCUUAAAUUGCAGUGGAAUGAUGUGGAAACAUGUCAGUGAGCAAUCACCGCUGUGAAGGUGCUGCAUGGUUGUCGUCAGCUCGUGCCGUGAGGUGUCGGCUUAAGUGCCAUAACGAGCGCAACCCUUAUCUUUAGUUACUAACAGGUUAUGCUGAGGACUCUAGAGAGACUGCCGUCGUAAGAUGUGAGGAAGGUGGGGAUGACGUCAAAUCAGCACGGCCCUUACGUCCGGGGCUACACACGUGUUACAAUGGGGGGUACAGAAGGCAGCUAGCGGGUGACCGUAUGCUAAUCCCAAAAGCCUCUCUCAGUUCGGAUCGAAGUCUGCAACCCGACUUCGUGAAGCUGGAUUCGCUAGUAAUCGCGCAUCAGCCACGGCGCGGUGAAUACGUUCCCGGGCCUUGUACACACCGCCCGUCAAGCCAUGGGAGCCGGGGGUACCUGAAGUACGUAACCGCAAGGAUCGUCCUAGGGUAAAACUGGUGACUGGGGCU
rnacentral:rRNA from 1 species